rnacentral:rRNA from 1 species
UACGUAGGGUGCAAGCGUUGUCCGGAAUUAUUGGGCGUAAAGAGCUCGUAGGCGGUUUGUCGCGUCGAAUGUGAAAACCCGGGGCUCAACUCCGGGCCUGCAUUCGAUACGGGCAGACUAGAGUUCGGUAGGGGAGACUGGAAUUCCUGGUGUAGUGGUGAAAUGCGCAGAUAUCAGGAGGAACACCGGUGGCGAAGGCGGGUCUCUGGGCCGAUACUGACGCUGAGGAGCGAAAGCGUGGGGAGCGAACAGGA